rnacentral:rRNA from 1 species
AUGGCCGCCCCUACCGGCACUUCCAUGCUAAGGGCCCUGCUCCAGCUUCCCCUGGCUCCGUUCUCGGGGAAGAGCUCCGCGCCUUCGGCGGUCCACAUGACCGCCCGCCGCGCGCCGACGCCCGUGCUGGCCGCCAAGGGCUACAACGUGCAGAUCGUGGUGGACGAGAACGAGGGGGAGGACUCCAUCUUCCGGCGCUUCCGGCGGGAGGUGAUGAAGGCCGGCCUGCUCCAGGAGAUCAAGCGCCGCCGGCGGCACGAGAACACCAAGGACAAGAAGAUCCGCAAGGCCCGCGAGGCCGGCCGCCGCAACCGCCGCAGGCGUAUGAUGGAUGAUCGUAGGUUCCCCGAAGAUGAGGGAGACUCAGAGGCUGUGAGAACCCGCCGCGACGAGGACAACGACAACUGGGAGGUUAGCGGUAUUCUGUGA